rnacentral:rRNA from 1 species
CGAACGCUGGCGGCGUGCUUACCACAUGCAAGUCGAACGGAAAGGCCCUGCUUUUGUGGGGUGCUCGAGUGGCGAACGGGUGAGUAACACGUGAGUAACCUGCCCUUGACUUUGGGAUAACUUCAGGAAACUGGGGCUAAUACCGGAUAGGAGCUCCUGCUGCAUGGUGGGGGUUGGAAAGUUUCGGCGGUUGGGGAUGGACUCGCGGCUUAUCAGCUUGUUGGUGGGGUAGUGGCUUACCAAGGCUUUGACGGGUAGCCGGCCUGAGAGGGUGACCGGCCACAUUGGGACUGAGAUACGGCCCAGACUCUUACGGGAGGCAGCAGUGGGGAAUAUUGCACAAUGGGCGGAAGCCUGAUGCAGCAACGCCGCGUGCGGGAUGACGGCCUUCGGGUUGUAAACCGCUUUCGCCUGUGACGAAGCGUGAGUGACGGUAAUGGGUAAAGAAGCACCGGCUAACUACGUG